UUGUAUGGCAGUGGAGGAAUGAGACAAAGAGGAGGAGCCAAACGCAGACACUGUCUCACGCGUGGCUGGUGGUUACCAUACUGGGUGGCACAGCUCUGGCCUUUGCACCCAGGUGCCCACGGCUGCUCCCCAGCUGACCUCCCAGAGAAGGCGUGUGGAGCAGUAGAGGUAGAAGAAACUCUGCCUCCAAUUUGCUGUGUGACCUUGGGAACCAAGCACUUCCCUAGAAGAGAAGAAUCUAGGAUUCCGGCCUUCACCUUGGG